GCCGCGGGUGGGCACAGCUCCCCUCACCAAGCCCCGGCAAACCUCAGCCCAACUGGGAAAGUAUCGUCCCUUAGUGCCCCUUGGCUCCUGGUGGGAAACAAGCGCCCUUUGGUGCAUACCGCCUGAAACCACAGAACACACGCCGGAGGAGGAGGCUGUUCCUCUUUUGACAGCCCCAUCAGGUUGCUCAUAUAUGGUUUUUUUACCACGCACCGUAAAAGUGAUCUUUUAAAGUGGACGGAGACAAGAACCUUUAUGCCCUUUUCUGAGCCUGCCAGUCUCUGAUCGACUAAACUACUGGGUUUCAGAAGGCACUGAAAAGUUAAAGUUGAGAGAAGGAAAGACAUCCUGGAAAACAUACAUGGACAGACCUCACCACAUUGAAGAGUGAAGUUUACUCUUCACAAAAGAGUGCGGUGUUAAGGAAGUUCCACAUGGUUUUAAAGUUAAUAGAAAAUUCCUGAUUUAUUUUUCAAUAUAAACCCCAGAAAUAUUCUCAGUGUCUUCCAAAGCACUUACUGGCUGCUUUACAGGACACUCUGCCUAUCAACAUAUAAUAUAUUCAUUUUUGAGAUAUAGCAUUGCUUUUAAAAUGUAGGUUGGUUUUUUUUUUUGCUUUGUUCCCUCCAUGUAAAAUGGAAUAUUCUUCUUACACAGGGAAAGUAGUCUUUAUUAAACUUGCAGGCUUACAAAUGAACAAGGCCAGACAAUGUAAAGAGCUGAAAAAACUUUUUUGGGGGUUGAUUUAUGUUGAAACAAGCAAGUGAAAUACAGCAUAUUUUAUAUUGUCUGAUAAAAGAUGGUUUAUAAAAAGCCCUUCAAAAUGCAAUGUUUUGAAAACCACAAUGAAAAAUGAAUUUUUGAUAAGUCUUGCCUCAGUGAUAGUCUUGGCCAAGAAGAGAUUUCUACUGUACAAGUGCAAUACAGAAAUUUGACUUUAGAAACUCUGUAUGGGACUGUGUUUUACAUCAGUCAUUAAAUUUAGGUAAGGAAUCCAGAAGGAAAAGAAAGAAGUGAUAGAACCAGUAGAUAUCAAAGAAUUAUUACAAUCUAUUUAAGGCGAGAAGGACAUUCUGGACUAUAAUUUUUCUGAUAAUACAGAAAUGCCCCACUCUGAUGACCCGAAGUUUUAAUCUCCUUCUGCUUUCACUGGUAUUUUUUAAGAUGAAACACAUUAAACCUUCCAAUUUCUCCCAGUUCUCAGUUUUUCCUGGAAAAAACAAUGAUGCUCUUUCAUCAUUGGUAACAUCAAACUAACAAGUUCACCAUUCCAACAUUACCCUCCAAAUAAGACAAAAAAAGGAAGACAGCUGAGUUUUCAGAGAGGUGUAGAAAGGCCUAUCAUUCUGGAUUAUUCACUUUUGUAUACCAGUCUCUAGACAUGACUGUCUCUGAAAGUUCUGACUUGACUUCUGCCAAGCCAGCAUUCCUGAUGCUGCAUUGACCCACAUCUUGGAUAUAUACAUCAUUUAAUACAAAGCCAGUAUAAGAUAGUCUUAAUAGGUAUUGUGGGCUUUUGUAUGCACUGAGUGUGGAGUUGAUCACAUAAGGUGCAAAACAUUCCCAAAUCAGCUUUAAUCACAUUUUUCUGAGCAGAAAGGUUUUAUCAGAGCAUGUGCCCUUUAGGGAUCUUAUGUUGUUCAAGCACUUCUAUUCUUCCUCUUCACUUAUUUUUGAUGUUAAGUGGUAAGAAAAGCUAAUUAUACCUUUACUGUUCCAUUGGGCCAGGUUUCACUGGAUGUAAAUCACUUUGGUUUAGUUAUCCUGAUUACUAUUAUAAUGUUAAUUUUUGCAUUCUCACUGUCCUAGAAAGCAACUAUCAUAGCACUGCACUCCUAGGGUACCUUGAUUUGAGCACCUGUAAAUACCCAGUUCCCAAUAAGGGAAUUGAGGCUACAUAGAGUUUUCUGGUGUACUUGUUGCCAAAUGGAAAGGGGACAACUUCCUAAGAACAUAUUGACAUCAUAUUCCCUUAAACCUCAACCCAGACCGAAGGUUAACUAACAGUUUAGGAAACCAAAUUACCAGAUUACCAGAUUUCCUUGUUAUUUAACAUUUCUCCACCAGCAGCACACCUUGAAUUAACUCAGGCAGUCCAGUGAGUUCAUGUUUUGAAACUUUUGAACUUCAUUUCGGAGAAGUGAAAGUGUGUUUACCCCCUUGUUGUGAACUCUCCAAAGAAAAAAUGUUCAGUGUAAUAAGCAUAAGCAUUGCUACCUGUCAGGAACUUGUGGCAAGACCAGUAGCAGAGAUUAGCUAAAAAUGUUGAAAUUGCACAGACCUGUGUUUAUGCCAGGAAUUCAUUUGGCCAUUAAGUUUGGAUUUUAUCUGGAUUUUAAAAAUUCUGAAGAGCUGUGUUGCUUUGAAGCCAGUGUCUUAGAUUUGGGCUGACCUUUCCUAUUCUAGCUCAAAAACACAGAUAACAAGCAAUUUAAUACUAUAACUAGUAUUUUAACAGCCACAAGGACCUAGUAAAAGUGUGAUAUUUUUUCCCAAGUUUUCAAAUCAUCUAUCUUUCUCUACAGUUUACAAAAUUGCAGUCACCCUGGCAUCUUCUGAAAUGUAAGCAGGGCUGUUGGUUUUCAUGUGUUUUUUGUUUUGUUUUGGUUUUGUUUGUUUUUACCAAUAGAUCUUUUUGAAAAGAAAAGCCUAAGUGUUACAUAGAAUUACAGUUCUUAAAUAACAAAUAAUACUGUAUAAGCCUCUCUUCCUACGUGUUUUCCUUAGUAGUCUGUGGG